AGCCAUUUUUCAAAAAAAAAAAAAAAAAAAAUACACUUCAUCUUAACGGCAAAUCCAAAUAUUCAACUUGUGCCAAAUCAUAUCUUGGACUGAACCCCGUCACUUGUGAAGCAUUUCUUGAUAAUAUUGAUGAGAGAGAGAGAGCACGAAUAGAAUGAAUCACACACUCUUCUUUACGUCCACAAAGAUCACUUUACUAUUAAAAAAACUAAUCUAAACUCUCUCUGUCAUUUAAAGAGUAUUUAAUCAUAGGGGGAACUGGCUUCAUCUCUUCUUACAUCAUCAAUUCAAUUCUC
rnacentral:lncRNA from 1 species